UAAGGUAGCGAAAUUCCUUGUCGGGUAAGUUCCGACCCGCACGAAAGGCGUAAUGAUUUGGAUACUGUCUCAGAGAGGGACUCGGUGAAAUAGACUUGUCUGUGAAGAUGCGGACUACCUGCACCAGGACAGAAAGACCCUAUGAAGCUUUACUGUAACUUGAAAUUGAAAUUGGACUUUAUUUGCGCAGUAUAGGUGGGAGGCGUUGAGUUUAUUCUUGCGGGAAUUUAGGAGCCAUCAGUGAGAUACCACUCUGGUAAUGUUAGAUUUCUAACUUUGUAUCAUAAUCUGGUCAAAGGACAGUUUCAGGCGGGCAGUUUGACUGGGGCGGUCGCCUCCCAAAUGGUAACGGAGGCGUACAAAGGUUUCCUCUGAACGUGUAGAAAUCGUAUCUAGAGUGUAAAGGCAUAAGGAAGCUUGACUGUGAGACUUACAAGUCGAGCAGGGACGAAAGUCGGUCUUAGUGAUCUGACGGUGCUGAGUGGAAAGGCCGUCACUCAACGGAUAAAAGUUACUCUAGGGAUAACAGGCUGAUCUCCCCCAAGAGCUCAUAUCGACGGGGAGGUUUGGCACCUCGAUGUCGGCU
rnacentral:rRNA from 1 species